CAUUAACGAAUAACUAUGGUGUUGGUUGUAGCUGGCUCCUCGGAGCAAUGUGCACGCCCGCCAUUUUUAUCUUUCCACCUGUGCACCGACUGUAGGUCUGGAUACCUCUCGCCUCCGGGCGGAUGCGAGGGUUGCUCGUAAGGGCUUCCCUUGAACUUCCAGGCUCUACGUCUUUUUACACACCCCAAUAGUAUGAUGCAGAAUGUAGUCAAUGGGCUUCUCAGCCUAUAAAACACUAUACAACUUUCAGCAACGGAUCUCUUGGCUCUCGCAUCGAUGAAGAACGCAGCGAAAUGCGAUAAGUAAUGUGAAUUGCAGAAUUCAGUGAAUCAUCGAAUCUUUGAACGCACCUUGCGCUCCUUGGUAUUCCGAGGAGCAUGCCUGUUUGAGUGUCAUUAAAUUCUCAACCUCACCAGUUUUCUGAACUGACUGAGGCUUGGAUGUGGGGGUUUGUGCAGGCUGCCUCACGGCGGUCUGCUCCCCUGAAAUGCAUUAGCGAGGUUCAUGCUGGACCUCCGUCUAUUGGUGUGAUAAUUAUCUACGCCGUGGACGAGGAUACAGACUCGCUUCUAAUCGUCCGCGAGGACAAUACCUUGACAAUUUGACCUCAAAUCAGGUAGGACUACCCGCUGAACUUAAGCAUA
rnacentral:rRNA from 1 species